CUGAAAUUCUAAUAAGAUAAAUGAAAAUAGUUUGUGCUGUCUUAUUCCAAAGGCUUCCUGAGGGAAUCAAAGCCAAUUGGACAAAUCUAGACAACUAUGUCAAAACUAUUUGUCACAAACAUAGUAAAUAAAAUUUUAAGGAUCUUUCAACAGAUGAAUGAUUUCAUCACUCACGAUACAGAUGAUAAUCUAUGGGAAGGAGAAAACACAGUAGAAGACGUGCAAAUAGAACCCAACCUAUAUUCAAGAACAAGUCGAUAACAAAUGGAGUAGAUAUUAAAAUUAUCGCCUCUUUUUUAAUAAUAAAAUACUAAAGCAG
rnacentral:lncRNA from 1 species